rnacentral:rRNA from 1 species
GACGAACGCUGGCGGCGUGCUUAACACAUGCAAGUCGAACGGCGUGGCGAACGGGUGUGUAACACGUGGGUGACCUGCCCCGCACUUCGGGAUAAGCCUGGGAAACUGGGUCUAAUACCGGCUAGUGUGGGAUGGGCCCGGGGCCUAUCAGCUUGUAGGUGGGGUAAUGGACUCCCCAGGCGGCGACGGGUAGCCGGCCUGAGAGGGUGGACGGCCACGUAGGGACGUGGCAAGGGCCCAGAGUGCAACGGGGGGAAGCGGUGGAGAAUAUUGCAGUAAGGGCGGAAGCCUGGAGGAGGGGCGCCGAGUGGGGGAUGACGGCCUUCGGGUGGGAAGCUCCUUUCACCAACGACGCGGUAGAUGGAGAAGAAGCACCGGCUAACUACGGGCCAGCAGCCGCGGUAAAC